GUCUACGGCCAUACCACCCUGACGCGCCCGAUCUCGUCUGAUCUCGGAAGCUAAGCAGGGUCGGGCCUGGUUAGUACUUGGAUGGGAGAAACAAUGCUUCCACUGGAGAUU
ensembl:rRNA 5S_rRNA 5S ribosomal RNA